CCUAAGAGAUACGUGUUAUGUGCAGUGCUCACACGGAUUGUCUGAUGAAGAACGAGCAAAAGCGCGUCUGCGAAGCUGACAAAAGUCCCCUUCGUCUAGAGGCCUAGGACACCGCCCUUUCACGGCGGUAACAGGGGUUCGAAUCCCCUAGGGGACGCCAAUGCGCGGUAUGAGUGAAAGGCGUACCACUUAUCUGACGAGAGUCAGAGAAUAACUAAGCUAAUUCAAACGAGUUAUCUUACUUAUUAUGCUCUUUAACAAUCUGGAACAAGCUGAAAAAUUGAAAACAAAUCAAUAUAUCAACGAGGUAUAUUGGUGAGUCUCUCAAAAUCUCAAACCUUAAAGUUUGUCACACAAAGUUUAUCUUUGAAAAAGACACUUUCGGGUUGUGA
rnacentral:misc_RNA from 1 species